UAGAUAGAUAGAUAGAUAGAUAGAUAGGCCUGUACGUGAAGGCUCAUAUAGCCUGUAUCCUUACACUGGUUAGUGAUGAUUCUCGCCCGAGCGCACUGCUGUUAAUAUGACAGGAACGAGCUCAUCCCAGAGAUCUCAGGUUAGACGUUUGAGCCAAAGAUCAGUGAAGAAAUCAAGCACACACAUCCACGAUAAGCGACACUGAACCAGAACGACUCACAGAGCACAGAGGGAGCGGGACAGGUCAGGAGGUUCGGGGGCGGGGUCUCGUCAUUGUUUCCCGCAGAUAAAUGAUUGCAUUCCUAAUUUAGAAAUCAUCGCUCAGAGCAUCAAACUCACUCCAAGACACCGACUCAAUGGAGAGGAUUUUAUAGCCUGUGCUUAAGAUUAAAUUGGGUCCAGAGAGAAGAGCGCGUUUUCUGCUGGACGCAGCGGCUGCGCUGAGCAGCAUCAGGACCUCUCGAGCCGUGCCUGCAGGAGCUGUGCUCGCUCCAUGUGCUCUGACACACACCUCCCUCUGUGACAGCAUCGCUUUCAUCGCCCUCAAGUGCUCGGACAGACGAGAUACCGCCUGUGUGCUGCAGAUGGACCCAUCAGCGUCCAGCCAAUGUCUGCAGAUGAUUCAGUCAGCCAGGAAUGCAGAGGAGCAAAAUCUAGAGGCUUAUAUGAGGAACCUGCAUCUAUUUUUCAGAGCCUUUAAGGAUGUUCCUGAAAACACAGAGCUUUUAGUUUGGUAUGGAAGAGAUCUAACCAAACUGCUUGGCCUCAGCACAGAGCAAAAUAACACUAAAGGUUUGAUUUGCUCUGAAUGCAGACAAGAGUUUUCUCU